rnacentral:rRNA from 1 species
AUGGCGCUGUUCCGGAGGCUGUUCUACCGGAAGCCGCCGGAUCGGCUCCUCGAGAUCGCAGACCGCGUCUACGUAUUCGAUUGUUGCUUCUCAACAGAAACCAUGGAUCAAUUCAAAUACAAGAAUUACCUGGACAGCAUUGUGUUGCAGCUCCGUGAGCAGUUUGCAGAUUCUUCAUUGAUGGUAUUAAACUUCAGAGAUGAAGGAAAAAGUCUGGUUUCAGGCUUGUUCUCCCUGUACAGAAUUACAGUCAAAGAUUACCCCUGCCAAUACUUAGGAUGUCCAUUGCUUCCUUUGGACAUCGUCAUCCACUUCCUCAGGCUGAGCGAGAGGUGGCUUAUGUUUGAAGGGAAGCAAAAUAUUCUGCUAAUGCACUGUGAGAAAGGCGGAUGGCCAGUGUUGGCAUUUAUGCUUGCAGCUCUUCUUCUGUACCGGAAACAAUACAAUGGGGAACAAAGAACUCUGGACAUGGUGUACAAGCAAGCACCGAAGGAGCUUCUUCAGAUGUUAACAACAUUAAAUCCACAGCCUUCUCAUGUUCGAUAUCUACAGUACAUAUGCAGAAUGGACUACGAGUUGGGGUUGCCCACACAACCUAUUCCUUUCACCCUGGAUUGUGUAAUUCUUAGAGGAGUACCAAAUUUCGAUGGAGUAGGUGGUUGUAGGCCAAUAGUUCGAGUGUAUGGGCAGGAUAUUCUAACGCUUGAUAGAGGUCGCAAUGCUCUUGCAACACCAUUCAAAGCCAAGAAACAUGUUAGGCGUUACAGACAGGCAGACAACAUGCCGGUGAAGUUAAAUGUGGGAUCAUGCGUCCAAGGUGAUGUGGUCCUUGAAUGCUUGCAUGUGGAUGAUGGCCUAGAAAAUGAAAGGCUAAUGUUUAGGGUGAUGUUCAAUACUUUCUUUAUCCAGUCUCACAUUUUACAGUUGAACUUUGAGCACAUUGAUGUCUCUUGGGAUGCUGAUCACCGGUUCAUAAAGAACUUCAAAGCAGAG